rnacentral:rRNA from 1 species
GAUGAACGCUGGCGGCGUGCCUAAUACAUGCAAGUCGAGCGAACAGACGAGGAGCUUGCUCCUCUGACGUUAGCGGCGGACGGGUGAGUAACACGUGGAUAACCUACCUAUAAGACUGGGAUAACUUCGGGAAACCGGGGCUAAUACCGGAUAAUAUAUUGAACCGCAUGGUUCAAUAGUGAAAGACGGUUUUGCUGUCACUUUUAGAUGGAUCCGCGCCGCAUUAGCUAGUUGGUAAGGUAACGGCUUACCAAGGCAACGAUGCGUAGCCGACCUGAGAGGGUGAUCGGCCACACUGGAACUGAGACACGGUCCAGACUCCUACGGGAGGCAGCAGUAGGGAAUCUUCCGCAAUGGGCGAAAGCCUGACGGAGCAACGCCGCGUGAGUGAUGAAGGUCUUCGGAUCGUAAAACUCUGUUAUUAGGGAAGAACAAAUGUGUAAGUAACUAUGCACGUCUUGACGGUACCUAAUCAGAAAGCCACGGCUAACUACGUG